UUUCCGGUUGAUCCCGCCGGACCUGACUGCUAUCGGAUUGAUACUAAGCCAUGCGAGUCUUUGUAGUAAUACAAGGCAGACGGCUCAGUAACACGUAGUCAACCUACCCUAUGGACAAGAAUAAUCUCGGGAAACUGGGCAUAAUUCUUGAUAGAUCAUAAUGCCUGGAAUGGUUUAUGGUUAAAAUGAUUCGUCGCCAUAGGAUGGGACUGCGGCCUAUCAGCUUGUUGGUGAGGUAAUGGCCCACCAAGGCGAUUACAGGUACGGGCUCUGAGAGGAGAAGCCCGGAGAUGGGUACUGAGACACGGACCCAGGCCCUAUGGGGCGCAGCAGGCGAGAAAACUUUGCAAUGUGCGAAAGCACGACAAGGUUAAUCCGAGUGAUUUCUGCUAAAGAAAUCUUUUGCCAGUCAUAAAACCACUGGUGAAUAAGGGGUGGGCAAGUUCUGGUGUCAGCCGCCGCGGUAAAACCAGCACCUCAAGUGGUCAGGAUGAUUAUUGGGCCUAAAGCAUCCGUAGCCGGCUUUGUAAGUUUUCGGUUAAAUCCAUGUGCUCAACGCAUGGGCUGCCGAAAAUACUGCAUGGCUAGGGAGUGGGAGAGGUAGACGGUACUCAGUAGGAAGGGGUAAAAUCCUUUGAUCUAUUGAUGACCACCUGUGGCGAAGGCGGUCUACCAGAACACGUUCGACGGUGAGGGAUGAAAGCUGGGGGAGCAAACCGGAUUAGAUACCCGGGUAGUCCCAGCUGUAAACGAUGCAGACUCGAUGAUGCAUUGGCAUAAUAGCCAGUGCAGUGUCGCAGGGAAGCCGUUAAGUCUGCCGCCUGGGAAGUACGUACGCAAGUAUGAAACUUAAAGGAAUUGGCGGGGGAGCACCACAAGGGGUGAAGCCUGCGGUUCAAUUGGAGUCAACGCCGGG
rnacentral:rRNA from 1 species